CCUCCUUUAAAGAAACCGGAACAAGGCGUGAAAGCGCCCGCACAAUUUGCCUUAUCAUCGUAAAGAUAGACCGCGGGUCUGUAGCUCAGUUGGUUAGAGCGCACCCCUGAUAAGGGUGAGGUCGGAAAGUUCAAAUCUUCCCCAGACCCACCCACCUUCGUGCUUGUAGGAGCAAAAAGGUAACAAGGGGGCCAUAGCUCAAACGGAAAACACCUGCUUUUCAAGCAGGGGUUCGGCGNUCUA
rnacentral:tRNA from 1 species